rnacentral:rRNA from 1 species
AAACCAGCACCUCAAGUGGUCAGGAUGAUUAUUGGGCCUAAAGCAUCCGUAGCCUGCUUUGUAAGUUUUCGGUUAAAUCUGUACGCUUAACGUACAGGCCGCCGGAAAUACUGCACAGCUAGGGAGUGGGAGAGGUAGACGGUACUCAGGAGGAAGGGGUAAAAUCCUUUGAUCUCUUGAUGACCACCUGUGGCGAAGGCGGUCUACCAGAACACGUUCGACGGUGAGGGAUGAAAGCUGGGGGAGCAAACCGGAUUAGAAACCCUGGUAGUCC